AAUUAAUUAAUUAUUAAUAUAAAUUUUAUUAUUUUAAUCAAAAUAAUUUUAUUAAUUUUUUAUUUUAAGUAUAUAUUAUAGAAAAAAUAUUUUUAAUUAUAGUUUAUUAGUAUUGUAAAAGAAAUUUGUUAUAUAUAUUUAUUUUUUAAAAGUAAAAUUUAUUUUUUGUACCUUGUGUAUCAGGGUUUAUUAAAUAAAUAUUAUAAAUUUUAAUUUUCCCGAUUUUAAGAGAGAGAAUAAAUUAUUUUUUUUAUUGUGAAAAAAAUAUUUAAAAUUAUUUAUUAGUAAUGAAAAGUUAUUCGUUCUUAAAUAUAUCUGGUUUAUUUAGAAAUAAAUUUAAUUUAGUUUAUUAAAUUUUAUUAAUUUAUUUUUUUAAAUUAAUAAAUUUUUUAAGUAUUAAUUAAAGGGAUAAGCUUUUAAUUAAAUUUCUAUAAUUUAUGGAUUUUAAUAAAAAUAUAUAGAUUUAGAAAUAUUUUUUGUUAAUAAUUUGUUAUAAUUAAUUUUUAUUAGUAUAUUAUUUUAUAAUAAUUUAGAAUUUUAUAAAUAAAUUUUAUUUAAUAUUUUAAUAUAAGAUAUAAUGAUAGAAUUAGUAUUAAUUUAAAAUAUUUAGAUAAUAAUUUAAAAUAGAUUAUUUAAAGGAAUUCGGCAAAAUUUUUAUUCGCCUGUUUAACAAAAACAUGUCCUUUAGAAUUAAUUAUUUAAGGUCUAACCUGCCCACUGAAAAAUUUUAAAUGGCCGCAGUAAAUUGACUGUGCAAAGGUAGCAUAAUCAUUAGUUUUUUAAUUAAAAGCUUGUAUGAAUGGUUUGACGAAAUAAAAUCUGUCUCUAAAUAAUAAUAAGAAUUUAAUUUUUAAGUUAAAAAGCUUAAAUUUUAAUAAAAGACGAGAAGACCCUAUAGAUCUUUAUAUUAAAACUAAUAAUUUUAUUUAGGAUUUUUUAUUUUUAUUAUUAUUUUUAUUAUUAUAUUGGGGUAAUAGGAAGAUUUAUUAAAUUCUUUUUAAUUUAUUACAAUAAUAAUUGUUUAUUUGAUCCUUAAUUUAAGAUAAUAAGAUUAAGUUACCUUAGGGAUAACAGCGUAAUUUUUUUAGAGAGUUCUUAUCGAUAAAAAAGUUUGCGACCUCGAUGUUGGAUUAAAAAUUAUUCUAGGUGUAGAAGUUUAGAAAUUUUGGUCUGUUCGACCAUUAAAUUUUUACAUGAUCUGAGUUCAGACCGGUGUAAGCCAGGUCGGUUUCUAUCUUUAUUUAAUUAUUAUAUUUUAGUACGAAAGGACCAAAUAUAAAAUAUAUUAAUAUUUAUUUUUUGAAUAAUAUU
rnacentral:rRNA from 1 species